CUUCUAAUUUCUGUGCAGUUAGGAAAAAUGGGGAGGACCCCAAAACAGGUUGGCAUAUUUCAUGAAGGCAUCAACCUGUUUGUUAAAGUUUUGGAAGUCUAUAGACAGUUCAGUGAUAUAAUCUUGAACUGCUCAGAAACUUGUAUGCAAGAGUACUUGUCAGCAUCUUUUCCAUAAAUCUUUUGAAAUAGAAGCAAUUUUGAACUGUAGCUGAUUGCAGAUGCUUUCAGGAAGAAUCAAAACAACUAUCUGUGAAUGACCAUCAUGUAAAAUGACUAUUGUUAAAACUCUGAUAAAGAGCCCGCAUCGCCAAGUCAAUCCUAAGCCAAAAGAACAAAGCUGGAGGUAUCACACUACCUGACUUCAAACUAUACUACAAGGCUACAGUAACCAAAACAGCAUGGUACUGGUACCAAAACAGAGAUAUAGAUCAAUGGAACAGAACAGAGCCCUCAGAAAUAAUGCCGCAUAUCUACAACUAUCUGAUCUUUGACAAACCUGAGAAAAACAAGCAAUGGGGAAAGGAUUCCCUAUUUAAUAAAUGGUGCUGGGAAAACUGGCUAGCCAUAUGUAGAAAGCUGAAACUGGAUCCCUUCCUUACACCUUAUACAAAAAUCAAUUCAAGAUGGAUUAAAGAUUUAAA
rnacentral:lncRNA from 1 species